rnacentral:rRNA from 1 species
AGUCUGGUGCCAGCACCCGCGGUAAUUCCAGCUCCAAUAGCGUAUAUUAAAGUUGUUGCAGUUAAAAAGCUCGUAGUUGGAUUUCGGAACACUUGAGAGGCGGUCCGCUGAAAUGGCGAGUAUCGCGCCCAAGUUUCCUUUCCUUGGGGGUUCGGUCGGCGGUGGUUCACUCCAUCGUCGGGCGCCCCAUCGUUUACUUUGAGAAAAUUAGAGUGCUCAAAGCAGGCACAACCCUGCCUUGAAUAUAUUAGCAUGGGAUAAUAGAACAGGACGAGAGUCCUAUUUUGUUGGUUUCUAGGGCUUUUGUAAUGAUUAAAAGGGACAGUUGGGGGCAUUAGUAUUCAGUUGUCAGAGGUGAAAUUCUAGGAUUGCCUGAAGACUAACUACUGCGAAAGCAUUUGCCAAGGAUGUUUUCAUUAAUCAAGAACGAAAGUAGGGGGAUCGAAGAUGAUCAGAUACCGUCGUAGUCUCUACCAUAAACGAUGCCGACCAGGGAUCCGGAGAAGUUACGUGGAUGACUCCCCGGGCACCUUGUGAGAAAUCAUAAGUCGCUGGGUUCUGGGGGGAGUAUGGUCGCAAGGCUGAAACUUAAAGGAAUUGACGGAAGGGCACCACCAGGCGUGGAACCUGCGGCUUAAUUUGACCCAACUCGGGAAAUCUUACCAGGUCCAGACACAGUAAGGAUUGACAGAUUGAGAGCUCUUUCUUGAUUCUGUGGGUGGUGGUGCAUGGCCGUUCUUAGUUGGUGGAGUGAUUUGUCUGGUUAAUUCCGUUAACGAACGAGACCUUAACCUGCUAAAUAGUCCUGCUCGUCUUCGGACGGGUAGCUCGACUUCUUAGAGGGACUAGUCGAUUUUUGUGCGACUGGAAGUUUGAGGCAAUAACAGGUCUGGGAUGCCCUUCGAUGUUCUGGGCCGCACGCGCGUUACACUGACGAAUUCAACAAGUUUUAACCUUCUCGGGCACGAGUGGGUAAUCUUAUGAAAGUUCGUCGUGCUGGGGACAGACGUUUGUAAUUAUCCGUCUCGAACCAGGAAUGCCUAGUAAGCGUACGUCAUCAACGUAUGCUGAUUACGUCCCUGCCCUUUGUACACACCGCCCGUCGCUCCUGCCGAUUGAAUGGUCCGGUUAGAACUUCUGGAUGGCGGGUCUCCCAGCGGCGCGAGUCGUUCGGGAACCAUGCCAGAAAUUGUUCAAACCUUACCAUUUAGAGGAAGGAGAAGUCGUAACAAGGUCUCCGUAGGCGAACCUGCGGAGG